GACAGCAGCCGCCGCGGUAAUACAGAGGGUGCGAGCGUUAAUCGGAUUUACUGGGCGUAAAGCGUGCGUAGGCGGCUUUUUAAGUCGGAUGUGAAAUCCCUGAGCUUAACUUAGGAAUUGCAUUCGAUACUGGGAAGCUAGAGUAUGGGAGAGGAUGGUAGAAUUCCAGGUGUAGCGGUGAAAUGCGUAGAGAUCUGGAGGAAUACCGAUGGCGAAGGCAGCCAUCUGGCCUAAUACUGACGCUGAGGUACGAAAGCAUGGGGAGCAAACAGGAUUAGAGACCCCCGUAGUCCCUGUCUCUUAUAC
rnacentral:rRNA from 1 species